ensembl:lncRNA
AAAUCCAGCGUUCUUUCUGCUGUUGUAUUUACCUCCCUGGAUCAUUAACACGGGGCAGGAUUUGGCUUUGCAGAAAAAGGAGAGACCUUCCUUCCGCCGCGGAGGAAAUUCCAACCUACGCUACCCUGAUCUCGAUUACUCUUGGCACAGUGAUCCUGCAGUCGUUCGAGCCCAGCGUCUUGGCUAGAUACAGAACUGAAGCCUCAGAACAACGGCCUCCAAUCCCUUCACUUUGCAGCCAGGCGCCAGUCCGCAAGCAAGCCUGGUGCGAUUUCUCAGGCUCAGAAUCCCAGGGUGCAGAGAAGAGUGGAGACUGGGUCUUGCAGGGCGUGAGAGGAAAGGAGAAAAACACAGCUGAUUCUUUGCCAUUAUAAGAUAUUGAAUAUAUUUCCCUGUGCUAUAUUCCACCUGCAUUUCAGUCUUCAUCCGAGGGUCUGCUUCUGGGAACGCCCAGCCUAAGACACCACCGUGUGGAAUUGCAGUUCCUUCCUCUGCAAGGCUAUCUUCUGAGCGUGGAACAAGGGAGGAAGAAAAGAUGAUGGCCACUGUCGCUGCUGCUGCUGC